GAAGAAAAUCUGGGCUGAUGAGAAGGCUUCACUGGUGACCCGGGCCGAGACGGCAGAAGCAUCUCUUGCAGAGGCAACAAUCGAGCUGUCCGACUUAAAACGGCAGAUAUCUCAAAUGGUCUCAGCCAUCUUCAGUAAGUUACUGUACAAAACCCCAAACAUUGUAAUAUUUCGAUGACUAUUGUAAUCGUUAUCUCCGGCUCACUGUUAUACUUGUGAACACACAGGCCCCAGGAGCACCAACCUCAAGCAAAGCAUGCUGAUCAAACUUAAGGCGGUUUACACUUUAGUGGAACAACUGUACUCCGGGUCACAACAUGCCUUGGCCAUUGUAGCCUUAUCAAAUACCACUCCCCACCUUCUGCAAGACGUGCUGAAGCAUCUCGCUGUGCUACCUCAGCGAAUUCAGGAUUUAAGGUGGGCAUCUUCAAGAGCCGGGGCCGUGGCUGCAUUGAGUCGGGCAAAGGCAUGGAUGCCAGAGCUAGACCCGGCCGACCUCGCUCUUGGAUACCUGAGCCUGAAGGAGGACGGUGCUGUAUUUGAUGAUCAUGAUUUCACCGCCUGUGUCAAAGUCAUACGUCCCAUGGCUGAAUCACACUUACUGACUGGCUCUGCCUCAACCCACUUUGUAAACUUAUCCACUGCCACCAGGAGAUGUGUGUUUUUAUCCUUAGAUCUUUUGAAAGGCCCAACCAUGUCAAGCCCCCAAACUGCGAAGAUUGGGAUCAUCCUCAACUCUUGAGCCGGUACAUGAGCUCAUCGUGAGAACUUUUGACAACCGUCACAUUUACUGACCGGAUCCUCUGCAUCAGCAUGAGCCGUCAGCCAGUAGAAACCAUGACGGAAAGCUUUGGCUACAAGAGAUUUUGACCCGGCAUGAUGGCCACAAUCCCCUUCAUGGAUCUCAUGAAGUAUUUCUUGGCCUUCUGCAGGUGACACACAGCGUUGGAACACCUCAGUGACGCUUAGGUGAUGGAACUCGCCGUUAACAAUCGUCACAGAUUUGGAGCGCCUGACGAUUUGUCUUGCCAAGGUCUCAUCCUCAGGUAAUUCUCCCCGGGUCAUAUAGGCCAAAUAUGGCACUGUCCAAUCUGGGAUAAUGUGAAGAGCUGCCACCAGCUGUGCCUCUGGGUCUGGCACCGCUAGUUCUUCCUCGGUAGGCACCUUGACAGAAGGGUUAUGCAAAAUAUCGAGAAAGGCGUUAGGCGGCACCGGCUUACGUUGAGAUCCCAACCGACUUAAAGCAUCAGCCGCCUCAUUCUUCCUUCGAUCAAUGUGCUCCACUUGAUAACCCUUGAAGUGACCAGCCACAACAUCUACUUCACGACGAUAAGCUGCCAUGAGGGGAUCCUUGGAAUACCACUUGCCUGAUACCUACUGAGCCACGAGAUCUGAGUCGUCCAAACACCUUACUCGGCUUAAGUUCAUCUCCUUGGCCAUCCGGAGACCAUGGAGUAAGGCCUCGUACUCAGCUGCAUUGUUAGUACACAGAAACAUAAGCCAGAGUACAUAACAAAAUUUGUCACCUCGAGGGGAAGUUAAAACAACUCCAGCCCCCGAGCCUUCUAGCUGCCUGGACCCGUCAAAGUGAAUAGUCCAAUAUGUGUUAUCUGGCUUCUCCUCAGGUGCUUGCAACUCUGUCCAAUCAUUGAUAAAGUCCACCAAGGCCUGACACUUAAUAGCAGUAUGUGGCAUGUACUUCAAACCAUGAGGCCCAAGCUCGAUAGCCCACUUGGCGACUCGUCCUGUGGCCUCCCUAUUCUGGAUGAUGUCUCCCAAAGGGGCAGAACUUACCACAGUUAUAGGAUGACUUUGAAAGUACUGCUUCAACUUCCGGUUGGCCAUAAACACUCCAUAAACGAGUUUCUGCCAAUGUGGAUACCUUUGCUUAGACUCAAUGAGCACCUCACUGAUGUAGUAAACCGGCCGUUGAACUGGAUGCUCCUUGCCAGCUUCCUUACGCUCCACCACGAUGGCAACACUAACGGCUCAUGAAUUGGCAGCCACCUAUAAUAGCAACGGCUCUUUAUCAAUGGGAGCUGCAAGAACCGAUGGUUCAGACAACUGUCUCUUCAAGUCUUCAAAGGCAGCAUCAGCAGCAUCACUCCAGACAAAAGUGUUUGUUUUCUUCAUCAUCUGAUAUAGUGGUAGGGCCUUCUCACCUAACCGGCUUAUGAACCAGCUUAAAGCGGCAACAUGACCCGCCAGUCGCUAAACAUCAUUGAUGCAUGCCGGUUUAGCCAGAGAGGUAAUCGCCUUGAUCUUCUCCGGAUUAGCUUCAAUGCCUUUGUUGGAGACCAAAAAACCUAAGAGCUUGCCUGCGGGUACACCAAACACACACUUGGCCGGGUUAAGCAUCAUCUUAUAAACCCGAAGAUUAUCAAAGGUCUCUUUCAAGUCAGAUAUCAAGGUUUCCUUCUCUCUGGAUUUCACCAUGAUGUCAUCUACAUAGGCAUGAACAUUACGCCCAAUUUGAUCGUGUAGACAGUUCUGCACACAUCGCUGAUAAGUCGCAUGAGCACUCUUGAGCCCAAACGGCAUGGAUACAUAACAGAAGGCUCCAAACGGAGUGAUGAAAGCCAUCUUCUCCUGGUCCUUAACUGCCAUUUUGAUCUGAUGAUAGCCAGAGUAAGCAUCCAAGAAGCUCAAACAUUCACAACCCGCCGUAGCAUCAAUGAUCUGAUCAAUACGGGGGAGAGCAAAGGGAUCAGCUGGACAAGCCUUGUUUAAUUCCGUGUAAUCCACACACAUCCGCCAGGUGCCAUUCUUUUUAAGCACAAGCGCCGGGUUAGCCAACCACUCUGGGUGAAAAACUUCAACAAUGAACCCAGCCGCUAAGAGCCGGGCAACUUCCUCUCCAAUAGCUUUCCGUCUCUCUUCGUUAAAACGUCGAAGAAACUGCCUGAUCGGCUUAUACUUUGGAUCAAUAUUGAGAGUGUGCUCAGCGAGUUCCCUCGGUACACCCGGCAUGUCAGAAGGUUUCCAUGCAAAGAUGUCUCGGUUAUCACGGAUGAACUCGAUGAGCGCGCUUUCCUAUUUGGGAUCCAAAUUGCUGCUGAUGCUGAAUUGCUUAGAAGAGUCACCUGGGAUAAAAUCAACAAGCUUCGUCUCGGCGGCCGAUUUAAACUUCAACGUCGGGUCAUGCUCUGUAGUUGGUUUCUUCAGGGAGGUCAUAUCUGCUGGGUCAACAUUAUCUUGAUAAAAUUUGAGUUCUUCUGCUGCACAGGCAGACUCAACAUAAGCCGCGUCGCCUUCUUCACAUUCCAAGGACUACCUUCCGACUUCCAUGCACAGUGAUGGUGCCCUUGUGACCCGGCAUCUUGAGCUGCAAAUAAACAUAACACGGUCGUGCCAUGAACUUAGCAUAAGCCGGCCGCCCAAAUUGAGCAUGAUAUGGGCUCCUGAUUUUGACCACUUCAAACAUCAAUUUCUCAGCCCUGGAAUCAUAUUCAUCUCCAAAGGCCACUUCCAACUCAAUCUUGCCAACUGGGUAAGCCGACUUACCAGGGACCACUCCAUGGAAAACAGUGUUGGAUGUCCUCAAAUUCUUAUCAGUUAACCCCAUGCGUCGAAAGGUCUCGUAAUAGAGGAUAUUAAUGCUACUACCUCCGUCCAUGAGUACCUUAGUGAAUUUAUAUCCACCAACCUGAGGUGCUACCACCAAGACUAACUGACCUGGAUUAUCGACCCGUGGAGGGUGAUCUUCUCUGCUCCAUAUAAUGGGUUGUUCCGACCACCUCAAGUAACGAGGAACUGCCGGUUCAACAGAAUUCACGGCCCUCUUAUGAACCUUCUGGUCGCGUUUGCAUAAGCUAGUGGUGAACACGUGAUACUGCCCACUAUUCAACUGCUUCGGAUUACUUUGAUAACCCGACUGCUGCUGCUGCUGAUCUCCUUGCCCAGACUGCUGUUGAUUAUAGCCGCCUUGAUGUCCCUGAAAGCCGGAACUUGAACUACAAGCCGGGCCAUGAAAACCACCAGCCCCUAAGCCGCCGUCAGAUCCAUGAAUGCCAUCAAAAGUGUUGGACUUCUUAAACGGCUUCAUGAUCGCGCAAUCUUUCCAUAGGUGUGUGGCGGGCCGCUCCCGGGUGUCGUGUCUCGGGCAGGGCUCAUUGAGUAGCUGCUCAAGAGAUGGGCCUGACCCGCCGGAUCGAGGCGGCUUACCCUUACGUCUCUGAUUGUUACCUUGCGCAUUGGUGUUGGCCACAAACUCCGGGUUACCAUCUGCCUGACGCUUAUUGCCUCCUUGAUUCAUCGGGUUAUGCUGCUGACCCUUUCCAUUGCCGUUCUUCUUGCCCUUCCCGGUCUUUUCCUCAUCAGACGCGGGAUCCUUGGUACUAUCAGAGUCGGCAUAUUUGACUAAAGCCGCCAUCAGCAUACCCAUAUCAUUGCAAUCACGCUUAAGGCACCCCAGUUUCCGCCUUAGUGGCUCAAAACGGCAAUUCUUCUCCAACAUGAGGACUGUAGAACCGGCAUCCAUCUUGUCAGAUGAAUGUAUUAUCUCCUUGACCCGGCGUACCCAAUGAGUCAUAGAUUCACCCUCCUCCUGUUUACAAUUUGUCAAAUCCACAAUCGACAUAGACUGCUUGCAAGUGUCUUUAAAGUUCUGGAUGAAACGGGCUUUUAGUUCUACCCAUGAACCAAUGGAAUUGGGUGGCAAACCCUUUAACCAGGAUCGGGCUGUUCCAUCUAACAUCAUAGUGAAGUACUUAGCCAUUGCCGCGUCGCUGACUUCCAAUAACUCCAUAGCCAUCUCAUAACUUUCGAUCCAAGCUCUGGGCUGCAAGUCGGCCGUGUAAUUCGGCACCUUUCGAGGUCCCUUGAAGUCCUUGGGUAGGCGCACAUUACGCAAAGCCAGUACAAAACAAGGAACACCACCGGUUCUAGUGGCUACUCCUGUCUCAACAGAAGUCGUCGGAUACUCUAGAAAAUCCUGAUGAGCCGCCUGUUGAGCCGCUAGCUGAGCCGCCCGCUCAUUCUCCUGGCGUAUUCAGUCUAGCACCGGGUUAUAGCCACCAGGCUUAUUACGGCGUUGGGCGUUGCUUGACAGAGCUUCAGACUCCAUGUGCCUGUUGUAACUCGGGCUCCGGUUCUGACAAGGCGGUGCUAACCAAGGCGGAGGAGUUGAAUGAAUCAUGUCCCGGCUGUAAGAAUAGGUCUCUUGCUGCGCCAAGGCCGUCUAGAGAAGCUCUCUGACCCUUCGGGUCUCCACCACUGUCGGGUCAUCACCGUCCAUGGGAAGAGCCACCAAACGCGCCGAAGCCGUGAUUAAGUUCUCCAUGGGGUUAGAAAAGUGGCCCGGUGGUAUCGGCACAUAACGCGGUGGUGCCAUGCUCACAUGAGGAGGCGGCAUGUCUCAAGGUUGAGCCUGUCCUCCAGCUCCGGCUGUCAUAAACUGAUUGGUCUCUGGCGAGUUACUUGGGCUGGCUCCAGGCAUAGCAAAAAGAACCCGAGGGUCAUAAUUCGGAGGUAAACGGAACUGGGUUUUCUGAUGUCUCCUCCUCAUUACAUCAUUAGACACGUUCAGGCUCAUCGUGAGCUAGUAGGCUUCUGACUGCAACCGUUGUGCCCGAGCGUCCAGAGCCGCCCGCUCUGUGGCUAGUCUAGUAUCCUCAGCUGCCAAGGCCUCCUUGGCCUGAGCUAUCUCCUCACGCACCCGUGCUACCUCCACGUCAUGCUCAUCUUUGUUUGCAGGGACAACCAAGGCGGUUAACAGGGUCGUAAGCUUGUCCAUGAGGUCUAUCAGCACCUAAGCCGGCGGGCACACAGGGCCGCCUGCCCUGGCUGCUCCUGUCCCGGACGUUAUUGCUAUAGCAGCUGUAGAGUUUGAGCCGGGCUGAGUCCCAGCCAUGAAGACUCCUGCCCAUCUUGGCGGCUCACAGGUGUCCGGAAUACUGGUGCCAUCGGAACAGCCCCCGAGCACGCCGUCUUGCACUUGGUACAACGAAUCUGUUGAGCCGGCGGACGAAUCACCGUCUGAGAGGACGGCCGUUUCACCACCAUCUUCAGAUCCUUCAGAAAGUUCCUCUUCGUGGAUGCAGCCCACGAAGGCACGCUUCAUGACAGGUUGAAUUCAGGCCUUCCUCGCACGCUGAGCCGUCUCGACGAGGUCAGUGCAGCUGUCCGGCUCAGGGCCCGGCUCACCAAUCCGGCCGAUGAAGACGUGGAUUCCGCCAAAGGGGACCCGGUACCCGUACUCAAUUGAGCCAGCAUCGGGGCCCCAGCCUUCGUUGUCGAUGUAGAUCUUGCCGCGAUGACUCUUGGUCAUCCGGACCACUACGUAUCCCUUGAGCCCUUCGAAGUUGCCCUUCAAGAACUCAAAUCCACCAUGCGCUGGCCCCAUGGUGGGCGCCAACUGUCGUGGAAUUGUCACGUCAGAUGUCCUCGUAAAAGGACUUAGCUGUGGAGCCAUCACAACUAGGAAGCUUGAAGGGGUUAAUUGAGACAAGGGACACAAGAGGUUUAUACUAGUUUGGCCCCUUACGCUGAAGGUAAGGCCUACGUCUAGUUGGGUUGGUAUUGAUGUUUCGAUGACCAGGGAGCGAGAUACGCUAUGCCCGGCUCUCGAUGAGUUGUUUCUUGCCCUAAGCCGCCAGCAGGUCGUCCCCUUAUAUACACGGGUUGACGCCCUGUGGCUUACAGAGUCCAGGCCGGCUUAUAUACAGUGUCCGGCUCGGUGAGUAGUUAAAUCUACCUUAUGAUACAAGUCAUGCCAUUAUGGUGGUUUACUACAACGGGCCUUAAGUCGCUUGUGGGCCUUUAAGCCUUUUAUUGAACCGCCAACUUCAUGCUUGGUCUUGGGCUUCUUUCUGGUGAGUCUUCUUUGCGUAACCCGGCCCCUCCUGGGUGGCUUACACAAAUAGUUAUAUCCCCAACAAUGACUGAUGCUAGUCCAUGUAAGACACCCAUGCCAACCAAAAUUGUACUCACUAAAGACACCAAUGGUAUCCCUUUCGACCCAUCUAAAUACUGCUCUAUGAUUGGUUCAUUGCUUUAUCUUUGUGCAUCUAGACCAGACAUCAUGUUUAGUGUAUGCAUAUGUGCUAGAUUUCAAGCUUCCCCUAGGGAAAGUCAUCAUAAGGCGGUUAAGCAUAUUCUUAGAUACCUUGUUCACACCCCAAAGUUGGGUCUAUGGUACGCCAAGGAUGCUAAGUUUGAUCUCAUUAGGUACACGGAUGCGGAUUGGGCUGGAGACAAAGUGGAUCGUAAGUCCACCUCCGGUGCAUGUCAAUUUCUUGGUCGCUCCUUGGUAAGUUGGACCUCGAAGAAACAAAAUUGUAUUGCCCUCUCUACCACAGAAUCUAAAUACAUUGCAGCCGACAGUUGUGCAACUCAAUUACUAUGGAUAAGGCAAACCUUGAAGGAUUAUGGUAUCACUUAUAGACAUGUGCCUCUCCUAUGUGAUAAUGAAAGUGCCAUCAAUAUUGCUGAGAACCCCAAGGAUCAUCUCCGCACCAAGAACAUUGAUAUUAGGUAUCACUUUUUGAGAGAUCAUGUGGAAACGGUGAUAUUCACAUCGAUCAUGUUGGUACAGAUUUGCAACUAGCAGAUAUUUUCACCAAACCAUUGGAUGAAGCAAGGUUUUGUCGACUUAGGCGUGAACUUGGUAUCUUGGAGCUUGACAAUAUUAUGUGAAAUCUAGCACCCAUUCAUGCAUGAACUUAAUGUCUUGUCUUGAUGUAGGCAUAUAUUUAGGGGGAGACACUCAACUCAUGAGUAUCCUCACCCUAUGAAAUGCAUAAAAAGAACAAACACUCUCAAAGCUACCAUGACAUCUAACUAUGGUGCUUUCCAUGAUGGAGUAGCAAUUAUGCACUCAAAGUUCCAAUAUUUCCGUGACAUGUCACGUAUACUCAUACAUGGUGGCAGUAGCCACCACUCUUGUCAUGAGAACAAUAUAUGAGCGGUAUAUGUUUUAUUAUUGUUGGCAUAGGAUACUCUUUGCUUAACAGAAAUUCUUAAUACAUACGGUAAUCAUCAUCUCCUCAUCAUGAUUUGCUGCACAAAUAAUUGUACCCUACUCCUCUCAAAAACUCUUAUAUGCUUCCGGUCAUCCCUUAUGUUCCGGACGUCCGUAAAAAGCUCUCUAGUAUCUUUUCCUGCACCAGGCGCCGGACGUUCGUAAAUCUCCGGUCAUCCGGACGAUUUCUAGGGCACCUAUAUAUAGCGCGGGGUGGGUUUUCGGGUAAGUUACCCUAAUCCAUUCAACCUCUCUCCUCUGUUCCCCACCGCCGCCGCCCCUAUCUCGUGGCUCCUCGCUGCGGCCGCAGGUUGCCCAUGCCCCUCGCCGUGGCUGCUCACCGCUCGGGGCCCUCGCAGUUGGCACGCCACUCGUUGUGGCCGCUCGGGUCGCCCCGUCCCUGCUCGAGCUCCUCGCCGUUCGUCACGCCGCUCUCUAUGGCCACUCGGCCUGCUGACUGAUUAGCUCCGGUCGCUGUCUCCCUCCGUGUUCUUCACUCACUACAAGAAAUAUGUCAACUUAUGACCACCACUAUUGGUCACUGAAAGGUCACAAAUUUCCAUUUAUGACCUUUUUGUGACCAAAAACAGAAGGUCAAAAGCUGGCCGUUGUAAACUGACUAUAGCGACCUUUAACAAAAGGUCAUUGAUCCUAUGACCUUCUGUUUUGGUCGCUAGAUCUCUCCCCAGGCCACGUAGGCAUCCAACGUGGCAAGCUGAUGUGGCACAAGAUUCAGCCCGGUCCAAUUAGGUGUUUUACAUGGGCCGAGCCCAUUAAUUCAACCCAUUUGGUAUAUUUAUUUCUGUUAAUUUUUAUCUGCUACAUGGGCCAAGCCCAACUGGUCAGCCCAUCAAUUUUAUGCACGUUUGGCCUUUCAAGAAUAUAUGUACAAUUUUGUUCAGCCCAUUUCUGGUUUACAUUCGGCCUUUUUAUACAUUCAAAUAUUAAUUCAAUCCUGGAGUUGGUCCAUUACUCUUUUCAGCCCAUUCACAUAUUCAUACAUAUGAUCCACCUUUUUGAUAAAUUUUGCAAAUAAUUUCAUAUUUCAGCACUAAAUAUGUUUACAUCACAGGCCAUAAAGCCCUACAAAAUAGUAUCACUUGUUCCUAUACAAAACUAUCAAAUGAUACGUACAACAAAACAGAAUACAGAAAAUUUAGUUCAACAAUUUCUUCCUCUUCCAUCUUCUAGAACACACAACACCUGUGAAAAUAAAGAUGCCACAACAAAAAUGGAAGGAUCAGCCACUAGAAGCAUAUUGAAUACAAGGGAAGCAAUCAAAUUAAAGAAAUGAAAGACACGCACUGUGAAAAUUUUGACAGCACAAAUAUUUUUUAUAUUACCAUAACAAACAGAAAUGUAAUCUGAUUGCACAAGACAAAUGGCAUUAUCACACACGCGGACGAGCGAAGCAUUAACCUAUGAGGAAGCUAUAGAAGCUACUCCAUGCUUUAACGAAAAUACAGAAAUACAGAAACUAUAGAAGCUACUCCAUGCUUUAACAAAAAUACAGAAACUAUAGAAGCUACUGCAUGCUUUAACAAAAAUACAAAAACUACAUAAGCUGCACAUUCAGGUUGUGAUACUCCCAUCUUCAGUAUAAGCAUGUUGUGAUACUCCCAUCUUAUGCAAUUUGACUCACAGAACAAGAAACCACAACAAAACUGAUUUUUAACAUUCCAUGCAAAAUAUGGUAAAUACGUCUUGUAUCUACUCCUUGGCUACUAUUAUUUCAACUGUAUAUUUAGCCAGCAAUCAUCAAAAGCAAGUACAGAGUAAACUAGGACUUUGUUGUAGCUACAGAAACUGAAACAACACACACAUCAUGGAAUUUCAUAUCAUAGCAAACAAAUAUUUUACCAGAACGCAGGGUGUUCUUCUCUGUAUUUUAGAAACAUGCAAACAAAGGUUUCAGUACAAUCAAACAAGUGGAGUAGACAAAUUUCAGAACUGAAUGUGUUCACACCGUUUGGUUUAUUAGCUCGGUUUAUUUAAACAAAAUUUUAUGUACAAAUAGACAAGUGGAGUAGCAUGUGUUUACUUUGCAUGCUCAAGGUACACUGGUCUGAUGAAAACAAUAUGAUGUGUUUACAUUUCAGUACAAGCUAGUGGCAUCAAAAACCAAGUAGUAGCAAGAAGAAGAGAAACUCUAGUAAAUGAUGAUUAUAUGAAGAAACAUGAACUACAUUCACUAGUGAUGCUUCCAUCACCCUACUAUCAGAUUAGUAAGUUAAACUAAGAAACAUUAAGCAAAGCAAAUGAUAUGGGCAUGCAUGAUUGAUAGUCUGGAAGUGCGUUCUCUGCAUUUUACUCAUACUUUUUUUCUUUCUGAAUGGUAAUUGUACUCAUAGUAACACCUCCAGAUGUAUGAACAGCUAUUCAGUCAAGCAUAUGUUCAUCUCGAGCUGUAUGGUAUCAUUAUAUAUAAAAAACAGUGCCAAUUCAGAUUUGAUAAUCCGUUUUAGAUGCUAGCAUGAUUCAUUGAUACCAGAAAAACAAAAUGAUUGGAUCAAUCAGGCAGAAACAUGCCCUGCCCCCAGAUUUGUGCCACCUUUCCCCCUCCUGUACCGAAACUAUAAUAACCCGGCUCCACCUAACCACCGGCUGAUAAGCCAGACCGCUUCAAAUCAUUGCCGAAUCACCAACCAAGAACACCCAGGGGCAAGCCAAUUUACAGUUAUACAGUUGCAUACACCCCGAUAAAAAUCCUAGAAAAUAAAAUUCGAACCCAAGCUCUCCCGAAUUCCAUGACUAACAGAGUAGCAGUAACAGUAAAAUCACCAAGGCCGUCGCGGAUUCGCAAGCUCACCUGAGUUCAACGGAAGCGGCGUCCGUCCUUGCAGUACUCCAUUCCUUAGCACCACCAAGUCCUCCUUCAAUAGCUGCAGAAACCAGGAUGACAAAUCCAAAAUCAGCUCACCUGCUCGGUCAGAAAGAAGAAACAAAGAAGCAAGCGAAAAUCCAAGAACAAGACGAACCUGGCGAACGCCGCCGUGUUGAGCGUCUUGCCGUCCCCCACCGCCCCGUACUCCGUGACCCUCCGCACGUGCUUCCGGCACCCCGCUCCC
rnacentral:lncRNA from 1 species